GCGCCGUCGCGCGCUAGUCCUGGCCUCCGGGCCUCGACACCCUUUGUUAUCCUUGCCAUGCCUAUUCGAAAUACGAGAGAUAUCACAACCAGUAGCGUUGGAUCCCUUGGCACGUCAUUCGAUGAAGACCGUUGCAAAAUGCGAUAAGUGGUGUGAUAUGCAAGUCCAAAACUUAUACGUGAACCAUCGAAUUGUUGAACGCACUGCAUCGAGCCUUACCCAGGAACGAUACGCCCCAUUGAGCGUCAUUAUGUCUUCGCGGCUCGUCUUCUUAUGUCGACCUGUCCGGGUUCAGGAUUCACGGCCUCGGCCGCGCUUCCUCAGAUGCAUGGACGCGCCGGAACGCACGGCGACCUUGUCAUGAAUGUCGAGGCAGCCGUCGUGUCCCGGUGCGCGAUCCUCCGCUCGGCGGGGGACCAACCGCAGUCCGCUGCACCUUCUCUACAUGACCUCACGGGGGUGGGACGACCCGCUAGACUUAAGCAUAUUAAUCAGCGGAGGAAAAGAAACUAACAAGGAUUCCCCUAGUAACUGCGAGUGAAGAGGGACGAGC
rnacentral:rRNA from 1 species